rnacentral:lncRNA from 1 species
AUCAUCUAUAAAAGGAGGGUAAGUGAAUAGCACCGGUAAGACACUUUUGAGCCAGAGCUCUGCUACUCUCGAUAUUCAAAUCUAUUGUUCACUAAUUUUCUCUCUGACUUAAGCAUCAGAGGAUCCCCAUUGGAUACAACUCUGAUCUGUGAGGAUGCUGUUUUGCAGGUGCUCAUCACCAGCGACAGAUGAUAGAGAGUUGGCCGCAACAGAUUGACGGUCAGGAAGGG